AACAAGGCGUACCUGCGGACCUGCGGAAGGAUCAUUACCGAGUUUACAACUCCCAAACCCCUGUGAACAUACCUAUACGUUGCCUCGGCGGAUCAGCCCGCGCCCUGUAAAACGGGACGGCCCGCCCGAGGACCCCUAAACUCUGUUUUUAGUGGAACUUCUGAGUAAAACAAACAAAUAAAUCAAAACUUUCAACAACGGAUCU
rnacentral:misc_RNA from 1 species